GUGAAUCAUCAAAUUUUUGAACGCAAAUUGCACUCCCUGUAUUCCCGGGAGGAUGCCCGUUUGGGGGUCGUUAGAAGAAAAAACGAAGCAUCGCUCUUUUUUUAAGGGUGAUCGCGUCGGAAUUGAGCCGUCUUUCAAAUGUUAAUUCAUUUCAAAGUGGCUUGAAAUUCAUUCAUUCGGUACGAUUAAGCGUAUUUAAGAUUAAUUUUGAUUGAGAACGCGCGAUGACGUAACAUUCCA
rnacentral:misc_RNA from 1 species